GAUUUGAAUUUCCGACCACCGUGCAUGGCGGUCGGCGGCGGCGGUCCGGUGACCGGACGGCGGCACUCCGGCGAGGCCCCGAGAGACAGAAUCCUCUUCUCUUCGCGCUGAUCAUGGAAUUGUCGCCCGAUUCCCAAUGGGAAGUAAGUUUCUCUCUAAUUCGAUUUAGGAUACGUUUCUUCGACGCAGGGCACUAAAGGAAUUUUCCUUAGUUCCAUAAUUAUUUCACUAUGUAACUGUAUGUAUAAAAGGCUAUGUAUAUCAAUCAGUUAGUGACUCCGCAGUUGUAGAAUUUUUU